GUGUUCGCUUCAGCAGCACAUAUACUAAAAUUGGAGUGAUACAGAGAAGAUUAGCAUGGCCCCUGUAAGGAUGACAUGCAAAUUGGUGAAGGGUUCCGUAUUUAA
rnacentral:snRNA from 1 species